rnacentral:lncRNA from 1 species
UCUGUGACUUCCCAUGUGUUUCAGAAAGAGCUGAAUUGUCCUGCUACCUGGUUAAUGGGCAUGCUUUGGAUUCACACUGGAUCCUGGAAGCAGAAUUGUCCCCUGUGGAUGUAGAAGUAUCAUGGUAACUCUCCUCAGGGCUUCAUUCUUCUUUUGUGACCUACAGCCUCAACGAGAGUUUUUACAGAAACGGAACACCACGGAACAGCAAAUUUGGGAACCUUGUCACUUGACAAAAAAAACGCUUGGCUCAGAAUGUUAUUUUUCUUAAAUGUAUCUUUCAGCCGCUGUCAUUAAAACUGUUAAAUAGCUUUAGGAACCUGUUUUGUCAAUUACCUUGGGGACAGGAAUGAAAUACUGGGCUGUUAAGCGUGUGCCACAAAAAAUAAACUGCGCCGCGAGAGCCGCGGGAGGAGC